UACGGGGGGGGGCAAGCGUUGUUCGGAAUUACUGGGCGUAAAGGGCUUGUAGGUGGCCAACUAAGUCAUACGUGAAAUCCCUCGGCUUAACCGGGGAACUGCGUCUGAUACUGGAUGGCUUGAGUUCGGGAGAGGGAUGCGGAAUUCCAGGUGUAGCGGUGAAAUGCGUAGAUAUCUGGAGGAACACCGGUGGCGAAGGCGGCAUCCUGGACCGAUACUGACGCUGAGGAGCGAAAGCCAGGGCAGGCAAGCA
rnacentral:rRNA from 1 species